AGUGAACGCUGGCGGCAGGCCUAACACAUGCAAGUCGAACGGCAGCACCGUAAGAGCUUGCUCUUACGGGUGGCGAGUGGCGGACGGGAGAGGAAUAUAACGGAAUCUACUCUUUCGUGGGGGAUAACGUAGGGAAACUUACGCUAAUAUCGCAUACGACGUACGGGUGAAAGCAGGGGAUCUUCGGACCUGGCGGGAAUGAACGCGCCGAUGUCGGACUAGCUGGUUGGCGGGGUAAAGGCCCAGCAAGGCGAGGAUACGUAGCUGGUCUGAGAGAAUGGUCGGCCACACGGGAGCUGAGACAGGGUCAAGACUCCUACGGGAGGCAGCAGUGGGGAAUAUUAGACAAUGGGCGCAAGCCUGAUACAGCCAUACCGCGUGGGUGAAGAAGGCCUUCCGGUUGUAAAGCCCUUUUGUUGGGAAAGAAAAGCAGCAGGUUAAUACCCCGCUGUUCUGACGGUACCGAGAGAAUAAGCACCGGCUAACUUCGUG
rnacentral:rRNA from 1 species